UAUGACACUUAUGCAUAGGUGGA
rnacentral:miRNA from 1 species